rnacentral:rRNA from 1 species
GACGAACGCUGGCGGCGUGCUUAACACAUGCAAGUCGAACGAUGAAGGAGAGCUUGCUCUCCGGAUUAGUGGCGAACGGGUGAGUAACACGUGACUAACCUGCCCCUUUCUCUGGGAUAACGCUCCGAAAGGAGUGCUAAUACCGGAUACGAACUCUGAACACAUGUUCGGAGUUGGAAAGUUUUUCGGAAAGGGAUGGAGUCGCGGCCUAUCAGCUUGUUGGUGAGGUAACGGCUCACCAAGGCGACGACGGGUAGCCGGCCUGAGAGGGCGACCGGCCACACUGGGACUGAGACACGGCCCAGACUCCUACGGGAGGCAGCAGUGGGGAAUAUUGCACAAUGGGCGAAAGCCUGAUGCAGCGACGCCGCGUGAGGGAUGAAGGUCUUCGGAUUGUAAACCUCUUUCAGUAGGGACGAAGCGAAAGUGACGGUACCUAAAGAAGAAGCACCGGCUAACUACGUGCCAGCCGCCGCGGUAA